CCCUUAGAUGUUCUGGGCCGCACGCGCGCUACACUGAACAGUUCAACAAGUCUUAACCUUGGCCGAUAGGUCUGGGCAAUCUUUGAACGCUGUUCGUGAUUGGGAUAGACCUUUGCAAUUAUGGGUCUUCAACGAGGAAUUCCUAGUAAACGCAAGUCAUCAGCUUGCAUUGAUUACGUCCCUGCCCUUUGUACACACCGCCCGUCGCACCUACCGAUUGAAUGGUCCGGUGAAAUCUCGGGACGGCGGCUUGGUCGCUUGCGUCCGACUGCUGAAACUUGAUUAAACCAUAUCAUUUAGAGGAAGGUGAAGUCGUAACA
rnacentral:rRNA from 1 species